rnacentral:rRNA from 1 species
AUUGAACGCUAGCGGGAUGCUUUACACAUGCAAGUCGAACGAGUGGCGGACGGGUGAGUAAUAUAUCGGAAUGUGCCCAGUAGCGGGGGAUCACUACUCGACAGAGUGGCUAAUACCGCAUCCUAUAGGAGCGGCCGAUCUCGGAUUAGCUAGGUGGGGGGGUUAAGGCUCACCAAGGCAACUAGCCGUAGCUGGUUUGAGAGGACGACCAGCCACACUGGGACUGUGACACUGCCCAGACUCCUACGGGAGUCAGCAGUGGGGAAUUUUGGACAAUGGGGGAAACCCUGAUCCAGCCAUCCCGCGUGUAUGAGAAGGCCUUCGGGUUGUAAAGUACUUUUUGCCGAGAAGCGGUAUCUGCAGAAUAAGCACCGGCUAACUUCGUGCCAGCAGCCGCGGUAAUUC